CCUUACUCACCAGAUCUAGCACCCCACAACUUCUGGCUCUCCCCAGAGUCAAAAUGACCAUGGAAGGUAAGCGUUUGCAAUUGAUUCAGGACAUUGAGGCAGCCAGGGGACUAAACAAAAGGCACAAAAGAGCACUCCACAGCUGCUUCUGCAAGAGGUUAGAAUAAUGGAGCAAGGAUGUUCAAAGUGCGGGGGGAGUGUCUGGAGGGGAAUAAACAGCAAUAUGCCUUUCAGUGUAGUCAUAUUUUUAAUUUUAAGCAUUCUUUAUAUUUUUCGAUUACAUAUCCCAGUUCCACAAAAUCUCAGGAGGAGUCUGAGAAGCAGAACAGACCCCAGGCAUCAGCUAUUAUGUUUGCAGCUUUUACGUUGCUGGCUCCGCAUAAUGCAUUCUGAGAGGUUCAACGGUGCCUACUGAGCACAAGCCCCUCUGUGGUUCAGCCUUCUUCAUGUCUCUUGAUGAAUCCUGGCCAGGACUCACUUGGGCUUGCAGAAAGAGUCACCCAGGAAGGAACAAAACUGGCCCCCUGGGGCCUCAGGAGGUGCGCUGUGGGGAACUGCGAUGCAGGCCCUCCGGAGAGGAGACCGAUCCUGAUGAGAUGAAACACAAUACCGGGGAAAUGCUGAAGGUGGCUCCCCUCAGCAUUUUAAAAAUCUCAUCUGGCAAAGACACUGUGUCGGUUUCCAGAGACCAAUGGGAUAAUGAUCAUGCAGCAAGCGUUCCAUAUAUCUGCCUGGCAGUUGUAGUCGAGGUCAAAAA